CUCUCCUCUCUCUCUCUGGACAACCAUCACUGCUCUUCUCACCCUGGAGUACUCUUUCUGCACUGCCAAGCAACAACACUGCUCUCCAAAUAGAGACUUGGUUGUAAUAGGCUGAAUGAUUUUCUUUACGCAACAGUGAGAGUGUGAGUAGGCUACUCCAUAUUCUCUCCUCUCUCUCUGGAUUCUGUACAACACAUGUGGAAUUACAGCCUGAUUACCAAGGCUUUUAAGGUCAGCAGACAUGGACCUCAAU
rnacentral:lncRNA from 1 species